CCGCCAUGUUUAAAUUGUUAUUUUUAUAAGUUGUUUAAAAUACUCGUCAUGAUUAACUGCAAAAAAAGUGAAUGUUACAGUCGAUGAAUGUGAUUUUGUGUGCAGUGAUAGCCUGUUCCGAUGGUAGUCUUCUGGUUUGGGAUUUAAUCUGUGCAUUCUCUUAAUAUGGAUAGUCUUUCUGAUGUCUGUAGUUCCUGCCGUGGUCUUGACACUGAUAAGGUUUCAGACAGAAAGAAAAGUGUGGAGAAACUGAGGUUGUUGUUGGGCAAGAGUUCGGUUGUUAAAGCUCUUGACAGGAACACUGAAGACAAGCAUGCUGGCCCAAGUGGGAGCCGACUCAUCACGUGGAAUGACAUCUUUAAGGCUGUGGUCGUAUACAUAAAGCUGGAGACUGCAGCCCUUAAGAAGGCAAAGGAACCUCAGUCUCGCACAGCUUCACUGAACAAAGACAAGAAAAAGCAGGAAAUCAGUGGAUUCUUCAAGUUUUUUAUCCGAGUUGCUGAUAAACGUGGUCCCAGAUUAAAAUGUAUUCCAGUCAUCUCGCACAUUCUGGAAACCCUAAGGGAUGACUUCACCUGUUCUGCAUUUGGCCAGGAUUACAACACCAUCCUGCUGAAGAAUAUUCUGCCUGUUAGAAAAUACUGGGUGGAGUUGAAGCCUGAAACGUGGCAUGAACUGUUGAUUCAGUACUGUCGACUGUACCUGGAUUCGGAAUGUGGUCUGGACCAUGUGAUUCUGUCAAGACUUAUCAACAUCAUUGUGCAUGGUUCUUCUAGACAAUGUGACCUCCCGUCCAAGAAAGUCGUCAUAUUCUUCACUGAAGCAUUUAAAAAUAUCAGGCAGGAAAAAGUUAGUCAAGUCAGUGAACACCUGCUGUCAGCAUUAAACGUUUUUUCCAAGAAGAUAGCCCCCAGCAGCAGGAUUCAGUUGCUCAAACUAGGGGAGACAAUCUUUGUCAGCCUGCUUUAUCUUUGGAGUAAUAGGCCCACUGAUUCGAUGAAGGAUGAGAUUGUUGAGUUUAUGAGGUUACAGUUACACCUGCAUCAUCCAUGUGGAGCGAAAUCGGUGCAAAGUGGGGCUGCUGCAGUAGACUGGGACUCGUGGAAGAGUUCGUUGAGAAAGCUGUAUGAAGUUAUACAUUGUGAUCUACAGCAGAUGGGUGGAAGAACUAGAUUUAUGUCAAGUGCCAAGGAUUGUGCCUUAAGUUUUCCUUAUGUUGACUUGGGCGCAGAUGUGUGUAAUCAGCUAUUUUCUGACUCCACUUACGUGAUUGAGGUAACCCAGUUAACAAUGCUUGGUGAUGGUGAUGCCAGUACCCCAAACAAGAAGAGGAGAUUGGAAUCUGGCUGGUCCUCCAUUAUCGAUAUCCUGGCCGGUAGAAACAACAAUCUGCAGAUCAUUCCCUGGCUGCAGCUAGUGAGUCGUCUGGUAGAAAAAUACCCGGCAAGUAUUCCUGGAGACCAGUUGCUUCCUCUGCUGCAGUGUCUGUCACAACUUCUCACAGACUGUAAAAGAAGUGAUAUAUUGCGUCAUUUAUUUGGAUGUUUGGAGAAGAUAGUGCAUGGUUACCAGUGUUUCGGUUACAUUCCUGUGUGCACUCUAACCUCUAGCAGGGCUUUAUGGCUGAAUAUCUGGUCUGCAAGUCUUCGAACAAUGAGUUCACACUAUGCGGAGGUGGAAGGAUUUCAAGAGCCUGGCUUCAAUCUGCUGACUUCUAUAAUGGAACAGAGACUUGUUGUCCCAGAGCGAGUAGUGUGGAAUCUUUUCCUACCCAGUGUCUCAUUUCCAACAGAAGCUUCUGUCCGAUUCUUGGCUACCUUUCUAAGAUUGCAUGAUCUGCCAGAAAACUACAAACCCAACAUUUUAGGCUCCAUUCUAGCAAAUGAGCAUGGCACAUAUCCUCUGAGAAAACAUCUUUUUGAUUGGUUCAUUCCAAAAAGAGAGGUCUCUGAAGUUGGAUCAAGAAGUAAGAAUAUGGCUAAAAUUGACCCGGAGCUAGUUGGUUGCGUGUUAACCUCUCUGACAGUGAGAAGUACAAGUUCGGUGUUGGAAAGUUGUCAGUGUGUUUCAGAAGAGAACUUUUCUCAAAUAGAAAACUUGUAUCUGCAAACCUCGUUUGACGAGCAGGUGAACUUUGAAAAAACUGUUUCUUCAUCAGAUGAUACAGAAUGUGCAGAUGUUUCACAUAUUCCAGUAUUGCUCAAACAUCUUACUGAUGUGUUUGAUAGAGAAAAGAUGUAUUUUGAAGAGCUUGUAGAGCUGCAGCUCCAGAAUCUUGAAGAUCUAGUAUAUCAGAUUUGUCUUGUGAGUAAAUGUCUUGAGAACAUCCUGCAUUACCAGCUCAUUUCUGUUGACAUGAUUCCGGUGCUGGGACUUGACGUCUGUUUGCAAGGUCUCCUCAAGAAGCUGACAUCUGGACUGGCAGAUUUUAUUAAGAAGGACGGUCCUAACCAGCUACUCUCCUUCAUUGUGCUUCUCGACAAGCUAUUCGUGUGGACGCUUUCAAAAGGACACAGUACAUUUGUUGUUUCUGAACUGAUAAGAACAUUGAUGCCAUCCAAACUGAUCAACCAGUUGUUUGAUGUGGCAUUUGAUAAGUUUUCAAAAACAUCAAGUUCUGCUCAUAAGUCUGACAUGGACUUGCCUCGAAUCACCAACAAAUCAAGCUUUGACAGAAAAUCUACACCAGCUGUGACAAACAGAUCUCAUAUACUGGAUGACAUUGAUGAUAUGGACAUUGAGUUUGAUGACACUUCGACAAUCAGGAAAGAUGAUAACUUGAAUAUCAGUUUUGAUGAUGACGAGUUAGGUCAGAGCCAGGAUUCGGAGGAGAUGACAUCUCAACCAGAUGUGUGUGUCAGCCUGCUUUCAAGAAAGAUAUUAUCUGAUUCACAAAGACUGCGUCUGGAAUUUAUCCGAGUUUUGUGCCACAGUUCUGGGUUUGAAAGAUCUAAAUGCUCGUCCGAGAUUCCAUACAAAGCUGAGCUAGACAGUACCUUAAUCAAGUGCAGACUCCUGCAGCUCCUUGAUGACAAACUUUUUGAUGCCAGUCGUCCACUUGAGCUGCAGAUAUUGGAAAUAAUUGUGAAUGAACUUACAACAACAGACCAUAAUGUUAGUGAAACAGACUUGGAAAGCAUGAUUUGUGUUUUGCGCCUUGUGGCCAAGUCUCAGUGGCAUGACCAGGAGGUGUCCAGCCUGUGCUUGGACCUGCUUUCACGACUCGUACCACAGCUUACGGAUUCACACAACAUGCCGCUACCAAUGGCAAAGACAGCACUGCUGCUUGUGUCAGCCUUCAGAAAGUUACAAGAUGAUGGUACCUGUUCUUCAUUAGCCAUGACGAAAUGUCUGCAGGCAUUUGUGGAGUGUGAUCCCACUGCUGCAUGGAGCAAUCUAAAAAGCUCGAAUGAUUCUGAUAAUACCAACACCAUUCUUUCUGAAUUUCCCAACUGCCUACUUGAUAGCUGUCAAACAGUCAGGAUGUAUGCAGCACAAGCUUUUCAAAGCUUGUUUGUAAUGAAUAAUAAUGGACUGUGUACACCUAAAGAAAAGCAACUUCAGCUCUCUGCUUUUGACAGAAUUUAUGAAGUUUGCAAUGUGUUGUUGGAUAUCAAGGGUAAACUGUCCAGUGAGAGGAUGCAGGAUGAGAGAAAUAACAGAACGACAAGUUCUCUGUUGGCCCUGGCCACAGUAGCCUGUACAAGUCCUGUGUGUGAAAAGAAUUGUCUGUUUGCAUUCUGUCAGCUUAUCAAGGAAAAGAAUCUAGAAAUAACCCCUAUUCAAAAGGUUCUUCAUAAGAUAGCCAACACUCUUGGCUACAGAGAUGUCAAGAGCUACAUUGGUAGUCAUUUGCCAUUUCUUGUUCACCAGUGGCUUGACCUUGAAUAUCCAAUUGUAGAAUUUCCAUUUGAACUCAUGUCCAUGACAAGUAAAACUAUGUUUUACAGAGAGUACACAAGCAUUCUGGUACCAGAGUUGCUAAUUCAUCAGGAGCUAAACAGUAUACGAGAGGUUGCAGUGAGUCUUGAUGUUGACUAUGAAUCACUGCUGCGAGACUGUGUGCCUGUGAUAGUGGUUCACAUUCUGCCGCUGUUUGCUGCCUCCAAGACCCAGGAAGCUGCCACUGAUGCAGCUGUCAGGAAGAGAACCAGUCUGGCUUCCAAAUGUUAUGAACUGUUGGAGCAGCAAAUUUCUAAAGAGGAAAUUGAUUCCAGCAUUCUACAUCACAUUGACAAAAUAAUUGUCAACAUUUUGAUGUGUUUGUAUGAUGAAAGAGAAAUGGAAGGCGGUGAUGGAGGGUAUGGGUGUGAUCCUGACCCUAAUCCUCCUUGUUACAACAGCUACAUCAUCAAGUCAACCUUGGAUUAUUUAACUCAGAGUUUUUCAGGAAACUCCAAGUCUCUGGUGUCCGUCUUGGCUAAAACUCAGGAUUCCAUUCAGAAAGUACUGCUUGAGCUCUCUAUCCACCUGUCUCACGAACAUCGCAUGCAUGAGAAACGUCGCAUUCUGCACAUGUAUCAUCUGUUUGUGGGAAUGCUGCUCCAUGAGUUUGACAGUCAGCUUGGAGGAAGCUGGGCCUUCGUCUUCCGCGAUAUUGUGUUCCGGCUGGUUCACAUACUGAGAGAUGUCAACAAAUCUCCAAGAAACUCUAUCCAAACUGAACAGAGAUACAUUGUAGAGAUCAUUGACAUGUGCCUGGACCUACUGUAUAAUAUUUGUCACGUUGGAGUUGAAAUAUGUCCACAGGAACUUGUGAAAUACGUACCAAGGAUCAUAAGCAACACAUUGGUUUGUGUGGCGGAGGACGGACAGGGUGACAAGGCACACAGAUUACUGCACUAUUUGAUGGUAGAAAAUGGCCAGCUUCUUAAAGAUGGAAUGAUUAACCUUGACCCAUUUCCAGAUAAACCUUGCUUCCACAAGUAUACAAAGAUCCAUAACAAUGCAAAGAGAGCACAUCACUCUUCAUUGGGAAGGGAAAUUAAGCACUUCGUGGAUGUAUAUGGCGACCACCAGACACUGACAGAGAGAAGUGUUGAAGGCAUCAGAUAUCUGCAAACUUUGCUUGCUUCAGAGUCUACAGAUUUGUCCAGCCUUGUCCAGCAGUGCCAUGAAAAUGAAGACGGCUCUUUAUUGUGCCAGCUGGUUUGCAAGUUGCUACAUCUUGCUCAGUGUCCGGUACAACCAGUCUCACAGGAAGCCACCUGCUGCCUCGGAAUUAUUGGACCUGUUGACCUUUGUGCAAUAUCAUUGCCAAAACCAGCUUUAAAAACAGAAUUGCGAGCAGCACUGGCAGCUUUUUGUGGUGAUAUCAACAAAGAGAAAUACUGCACAAUCUUUCACCAGCUUAAUGAUUAUUUAGUAGAUCCAUGUAUUGAUGUAGUGAAGUCAGCAGGGGAGGUGCUGAAGACGAUGUUUGCUACAAAGGAAGGAGCCGAAUUCUAUGCUAUGUACAAAAUGAAGCUACCUGAUGGACAUCUUUUAUCCUAUCUUCAUCCCUUUAGGCCUGCGAAAAAGAAGAUGCAACUUCCAGCAAAUGUAGAAGACUUUGACCGUGAUGUGGACUGUGACAUGUGGAUUGUUCAUCACGCAGACUAUGAUAUCUGGUUGACAGACAUCACAUGUGCUUUACUGCAAAGUGGGGCAGUUUCUAAUGAAAUGCUCAGACUUCUAAAACCAAUAUGUACAAUUAAGUCCAAGUUUUGUGAAGCCAUUUUGCCAUUCCUGAUUCAUGACAUCUUGUUGACUGGGAGCCGGGUUUAUCAUGCCAUCCUGUCCAACAGAAUAUCCAGUUUCUUCCAUGAACACUGUCAGCUCGUGCUUCACAUGGAAGGCAGAUCCAGUACCACACAGCUUUUGUCAGGUGAAACAUCCAUAUGCCUAAAUAAGGAUGCAGUUCAAACUAUGCUAAAUAUUGUACAAUACUUGAGGCAGCAAGAUCGACCUAAACAAAACCAAGUGUUGACACAAUGGGACAAUAACUUCUGGCUGGAUAUAGACUAUUUGGAAGUGGCCAAGGCAGCCCAAUUUUGUAGUGCUUACUUUUCUACAAUAUUGUAUUCAGAGAUCUGGUCAGAUACAAAAAGAGGUGAUGAUCGGACGAGCUCGCAGUCUCAGUCGGAGCGGGUAUCCCAGGAGUUCAGUCAAAACACUCGCAUGGAUGCGCUGAGCUCGCCCACCUCCAGCCAGACGUGUGUUGGUAUUCAGGACCUGAUGCUGGAAGCGUACCGCUGUAUUGGGGACCCAGAUGGAAUCUAUGGCUGUGGCGCUGGGAGACUGGCUGAUUCAUCUUCCAGAGUGAAAACCUAUCUGCAUGAAAACAAAUGGGAAAAAGCUGUGAUCACUUACGACAUUGAGAUGAAAAAUGCUGCACUUUCCCAUCAGCUUGGACUUUUACAGACAAUACAGAACUUUGGGGCCGAGAGCAUGCUUGAGUUGUGUCUACAAGGUAUAUCUACUGCAAGCCAACAAAACAUGUCUCCUGAGGUUCAGGAACUGCAGUACGAGGCUGCCUGGAGAGCAGGACAGUGGAAUCUGAAUAUUCCUUCUAGACUGGAUUCUGGAAUGGGUUUUCACCAAGCCUUGUACUGUGCAUUGGAUGCAUUGAAAGAUGGACAGAUGUCUCUUUCUAAGAUAGCAGUAAAUACGGCUCGAUUAAGUGUUUUGAAAAGUGGUGACGUCAAUUUGGAGAGUUGUCGCAGCAUAUAUCCUGUACUGUGUAAACUGCACUGCCUGGCGCAGGUUGAUGACGUGUUGGCAGUCACUCGGAGAAAAGAUGGCCACUUGUUGGAUAUAGUGGAGAAAUGGAACAGUGAGAAGCUGGUAACUAACGACUUUGAGUUCCUUCAUCCUGUGUUAAAUAUCCGAUGUUCCCUGAUUAAACUGCUGAUGAGGAAAUGCCAGGACAAGGGACUCCAGGCCGGUCUGUCAGACCAUCUGCACACACUGGCACAGCUGGCUAGGGAUUCCGGCAGAUACCAGGUAUCCGAACGGUGCAUCUCUGAUCUGAAGGACAGUGUGGGCUCAGACAGUGAGAACAAGCUGCGUGUUGACCUGGAGGAAGCAGAGUUAUAUUGGGCCAGAGCAGAGCACAACAUUGCUAAACAUCUGAUGAAAACACUCAUUUCUAAUUUGGAAAAGCUUCAUGAUGAGAGCUUUGAAGCAGUUCGUUUGUUGCCAGUAGCCUUGGGAACCUACGGAAACUGGCUGGCAGAAACACGCUCGGAAAAUCCAAGUGUGAUCAUGGACAACUAUCUACAGAGGGCUGUGGAUUUAUUAGAGGUAAUAUCUGCCAGUGACGACUUGGCUCUAGAGGCGUACGUGUCUUUGGCUCAGUUUGUUGAUGCCCAGUAUCAGAACAUUGUUAACUACAUGAAGUCGAGCACGUAUGAAGCUAAAAGAGCACUCAUGAAGAAAGCCAAAAAGGAUGCCAAGAAAUACAAGACACUUGUUAACAACAAUGAUCGAUAUCUUCGAACACUGGAAAAACAGAGUAAAAUUGAUGAGCAGGAGGUUGUUACGAUGGAAGAAGAUCGCAACACUUUCCUGGAAAAGGCUGUCGGAAAUUACAUAAAGUGUUUGAAACUCGGUGACAAGCAUGAUCUACGUGUGUUCAGACUGACCUCCCUGUGGUUUGAAAAUGCUUCAUCAGAUGUUGUCAACCAGUUGUUAAAUGAAAGUGUUCCCUUCAUUAAGUCAUACAAAUUCCUUCCCCUGUUGUAUCAGCUAGCUGCUAGACUGAGCACCAAACAAAACAACUGUGUUCUUUUCCAACCCACUCUGGAAAAGAUUUUGGAGACAGCUGCGGUUGAUCAUCCACACCAUGGAGUUCCAGUCAUCAUGGGUUUGGCUCAUGCCAAUAAGGAUGCAGAACUUGAAGCACGAAGCAAAUCAGCCAAACGAGGAGGGAAGUUGUCUAGAAGUAACACUGAAACUGAGGGAGAAGAGGAUCGUGUUCAAGCUGCAAAGAACAUGAUUGAGAAGUUGAAGAGGACUGGAAAAGUGUCUGUAAUUGUGAGGAACUUGGAGAUUUUGUCGACAGCGUAUAUAGAGCUGGCCAACUGGAGUGUGGAACAGUUCAAGAAGGAGACAAAAGCCAUCAACUUGCCAGGCUCUCUAAUGCUAACACAACUAAAGAAUUUGGACAUUCUUGCAGUUCCAACGGUAGAAACCAAGGUUGACCCAUCAGGAAAGUAUGAUGAUAUAGUUUCCAUACAGCGAUUUGUAGGCACCUUCAAGUUGGCUGGUGGUAUCAACCUUCCAAAGAUUCUCACAAUCGUAGGCUCAGAUGGUAUUGAAAGAAGACAGCUAGUGAAGGGUCGUGAUGACUUGCGGCAGGAUGCGGUAAUGCAGCAGGUGUUUGGCAUGUUGAACAACCUCCUGAAGAAAAACCCAGAAACCAGGAAGCGCAGCCUCAGAGUAAGGACGUACAAGGUGAUUCCAUUGUCUCAGCGAAGUGGUUUGUUAGAGUGGUGUGAAGGGACGCAGCCUAUCGGAGAGUACCUCAUCGGCAGCUCUUCUGUUAAGGGAGCUCAUCAGAAAUAUUAUCCUCAAGACUGGCCGGCGCUCGACUGCAGGAAGCAUAUUACAGUUACUACUGGAAAUUGCGAUGUGAAGAAAAAGCUGAAGUUGUACCUGGAGGCCUGCAAGCACUUCCAUCCUGUAUUCAGACAGUUCUUUAUGGAAAAGUUUUCUGACCCAGCAACAUGGUUCGAAAGACGGCUGGCUUACACCCGCAGUGUGGCAACUAACUCCAUUGUUGGUUACAUCUUGGGUCUGGGCGACAGACACAUCAUGAACAUUCUAAUAGAUUGUAAUACAGCUGAACUGAUUCACAUAGACUUGGGCAUUGCCUUUGAGCAGGGUAGAAUACUGCCUACCCCAGAGACUGUGCCAUUUCGACUGACUCGAGACAUUGUUGAUGGAAUGGGUGUUACAGGGGUGGAAGGUGUUUUUAGAAGAUCGUGUGAGAAGACAAUGGAGGUGAUGCAUGUGAACCAGGAAGUGCUGCUGAUGAUCCUGCAGGUUCUGCUGUAUGACCCUCUAUACGUGUGGACGUUGUCACCACAGAAGGCGUAUGCUCUGCAAAACAAGCGAGACCGGACCGACCCCGACCAGUCGGAGCUGAACACGACCAGCACCAGUGUGACCGACAUCGAGCAGGAAUCAAGUGGGUCAGGAGAAGGACUUGAUGAAGUGAACAAGGUUGCUGAAAGAGUGUUACUUCGUCUUCAGCAGAAACUUCAAGGUGUUGAAGAUGGCAUCCAGCUUAGCAUUAUGGGCCAAGUGAAUUACAUCAUCCAAGAAGCACGGGACCCUAAAAAUUUGUGCAAGCUUUUUCCUGGAUGGCAACCAUACAUAUAACAGAUUUAUUAAGCACUGUAAAUUCACGCUCUGAAGAUUUUAACUUGCUCUCUGAUAACAAUAAAUUUUAUUUUUUUGACUAGUGAAAAUGCAAUAAGGAACUUUUGUGAUUCAUGCAGUCUCCUUAAAGUACUUGUGGAGACCAAAUUGUUGUCUGAACUGAGAAUUUUGUUCCUUUGAAACAAAACUAUGGUAGAACACGUCUGAGCUGUUAUAGGAUAUCAUUUACUCUUGGCUGACCAACAUCAGAGCUGCAUCAUUGGUGUAUCAAAAGCAGGUAUUUGUGGUGCUGUUAUAGGAUAUCAUUUACUCUUGGCUGACCAACAUCAGAGCUGCAUCAUUGGUGUAUCAAAAGCAGGUAUUUGUGGUGCUGUUAUAGGAUAUCAUUUACUCUUGGCUGACCAACAUCAGAGCUGCAUCAUUGGUGUAUCAAAAGCAGGUAUUUGUGGUGCUGUUAUAGGAUAUCAUUUACUCUUGGCUGACCAACAUCAGAGCUGCAUCAUUGGUGUAUCAAAAGCAGGUAUUUGUGGUGCUGUUUGUAGGAAUAUACACCUAAAGCCAAUAUACUGCUAAUCAGGACGAGUUUCUGUAAUGACAGCAAGUUUCUUCUCUUGACACCAAUGUGCUACAGUUGGCCAUGAUUGAUGCCUAGAUGACACUGAUUAAACAGUGCUGAUAUGGUGGGGUUUUAACAAAUUCAUUUCAAUCACUGUUUUAAAAUGAUCACUGCCCGAUUAGUUGUGCCAAAUUCUAAAAUGUAUGUAGUUUGUCAUUAUUAAAUUUUCACUUCAAGUAUGAUAUACUUUUUAUGCAAUGAAAACAUUUGUUUAAAAUCAUUUAACUAUUAUCAAUAGAAAAAGAAAUGGUGGAUGCAACACAGUCAUUGUGUUACAACUCCGAAUAUUUGAUGUGCUUAUACUUGACUCUCUUAUUAGCAUGGUUAGAGGUAUGAACCAGGGGUGUGAAUUCUCUCCGGAUCCGCGUUUCCUCGCAUUUUAAUCGUACUUUCCUCCAAAAUGUGUCAGAUGGCACAGAUUUUAACCUAGGAUUUCAAGAAUUUCUGGGACCCGUCUAGAUUUCCUCUUUUUUACAGUUCACCAAUUCCCACCCCUGAUGAACAUUUUUAUUUGUAUAUUGUGUAUAAUUUGGCAAAAAAAAAGAAAAUCUGUUAUCUUGAAAUUUAAUAAUGCACAAUAACAAACUGACGUCAGGUGCAGUUUUUUCUGGGGCAGUGUGAACAAGGUAGCCAUGUUUAUUAAUUUGUUUGCAGUGAACUCUUUGAUUAUUCGUUUUUGAAUGGAUGGACCACAAUGUAAACCAAAACGUAAAGAGACGAAUGAAGUAAAUCAUUGUGUAAUGAGUGAAUCGUCGGAGUGAUAAAGGAACAACGUGGUGUGCUCUCUAUGGAUGACAUUUGCUUCGUUGCUCGGGAAAUUAAAAACAUGAUCUUGCCUGAUUUUUGUGCAUUAAAUUAAUUUUGUAAUCCUCUAAAAUUAGAAAUUUCUAAUCUUUGAUCAGAAAAUGUAGCCUUAACCUCUGAAGACAAUCACUUGUUAAACAAGAUGGACAAUCUUGAAGAGUACACACAUGGAUAUAAUUUACAUGUCACUGCUGUUGAUGAACAUAGAUGUGUUACACAAGUUUGUUGAAAAUGUUUUCAAAGUUACAAAAAUGGGAGAUGGAGCACUCACAUCGACUUUUUUCUGUUUCAAAUGUGUGGUAUUUCAUGUCUCUGAUUUGGAAUCGUGAUACAUGUAUGUCUUGUGCCUGUGGUGCAAUUCACAUUAUACAUUAUCUGAAAUUAAGUAUUGUUCUAUGCUACUGAUCACUGCUGAACAACAAAGUUACGCACCUUUGUAUCUUUACAUACAUCAUGUCAGUAAGUUAUCUCAAAAUGUAUUUUUCAAUUUGGCACUGGCAACAGCCUACCUUACUGGAUUAGUAUUAUAGUACUUUGGUUAUUUGAUGUCGGCUGAUUUUUAUGUAUAUGGGUACCUGGUUAGGAUGAGGAUCUGCUCUCUCAAAAAAAGAUAUAACAAUUUUUAUUAUAUCUAUGCAUGCAUGUACUCUCAUUUCAGCUCCAAAUUGGGAGUUUGGUACAGAAUUGUUAUGUCGUUAGCAGGAGACGUCCAUGUGCAGUCUUGUUUCAUGUAAUGUUGUUUGACCUAGAAAUAUUCCGGUGCUUUUAUGUUACUGUUUGUUUAUAGUUCUAUCUGUAUGUUGUGAUGCAUUGGAGAGGUCUUAAUAUAGGCAUUACCUGCUGACCAAUCCAUAACCAUGGGAAAUUUGGUCAUAAAUAUUGUUUAAAUUCUUUUUAAUUACUAUUAUCCAGUUUUGAAAACCGAAACUUAUGUAUAGCUGCCACCAAAUGGAGUAUUUGUGUCAAAAUGGACUGUUUAUAUAGCUUAUUGCUGACUAUAGGUUAAAUUAUAUUAGAUGGUUUGAGUGAAUAGUAUGUUGACCUGUUAAGACAAGUGACCAUUUACUGUAAGGUCAGAUGAGCUGGCAGUUGGUGCUUUUCAUGUUUGUUUUUAACACAUUUUAUAAGAAACUGUUCUAACUUCAGUGCAGAUUGCUUAGCUUUUGUUGGGUGAUACACUCACUCUCACUGAAUGCAUUAUAUCUUGUUUAGCACAGCAUUGCAGCUUGUCAGUUAAUACCAACAAUUUGUUUAUUAUAUCACUGGCUAUUUGGUUAAAUCUACCCAAGUUGACCUAAAGUCAGAGUGCUCAGUAAGCUUUGAUUUCACUUACAUUGAUAUACAUGUAGAAUGUUAAUAUCAAAAUAAUUGGACAUCACAAUAAAAUGUAGCACUUGAUAACAUGUUUUAUUACAGUGUAUAAAUAAAACCAUUCUUAUCUU
rnacentral:misc_RNA from 1 species